rnacentral:rRNA from 1 species
AUAUCAAUAAGCGGAGGAAAAGAAAGCAACAGCGAUAUCCCAAGUAACGGCGAGUGAAAGGGAUAAAGCCCACCCUGAAUCCCGUAGCCUUUGGCUGCUGGGAGCUGUAGGGUUAAGUAGGCCUUCUCCGGUACUGCUCUGACUCCUUGAGUUCCCUUGAUUGGGACCACGGCCCAUAGCGGGUGCGAGGCCCAUUGCGGAGACGGACUGUGCCGGGCUAGAUCUACUAAGAGUCGGGUUGCUUGAGAGUGCAGCCCGAAUACGUCGUAAACCCGACGUAAGGCUAAAUAUGGCCACGAGACCGAUAGCGCACAAGUA